AUGCCCAGUGAUUAUAAAAAGACGCGUUAUUCUGAGGAACAAAACCUGCCACCAGUCUUUCUUCUGUCUUUUACUCUGUCUUUGAUCUCUUAUCUUCCUCCACUCCCUCUCUCUUUUUUUCAAACUGGUAGCUGGUCCGCUGAAUGCGAUUAUGAGAUAUGAGGGCAU
rnacentral:snoRNA from 1 species